rnacentral:rRNA from 1 species
GAUGAACGCUGGCGGCGUGCCUAACACAUGCAAGUCGAGCGAACAGAUAAAGAGCUUGCUCCUUUGACGUUAGCGGCGGACGGGUGAGUAACACGUGGCUAACCUACCUCUAAGACUGGGAUAACUUCGGGAAACCGGAGCUAAUACCGGAUAACAUAUUGAACCGCAGGGUUCAAUAGAGAAAGGCGGCUUUGCUGUCACUUAUAGAUGGAUCCGCGCCGUAUUAGCUAGUUGGUAAGGUAACGGCUUACCAAGGCAACGAUACGUAGCCGACCUGAGAGAGUGGUCGGCCACCCUGGAACUGAGACGCGGUCCAGGCUCCUACGGGAGGCAGCAGUAGGGAAUCUUCCGCAAUGGGCGGAAGCCUUACGGAGCAACGCCGCGUGAGUGAUGACGGUCUUCGGAUCGUAAAACUCUGUUAUCAGGGAAGAACAAAUGUGUAAGUAACUGUGCACAUCUUGACGGUACCUGCUCAGAAAGCCACGGCUAACUACGUG